rnacentral:rRNA from 1 species
UACGAAUCGUCCAAACGUUGUUCGGAUUCACUGGGUUUAAAGGGCGCGUAGGCGGUGCGUUAAGUCGGCGGUGAAAUACUUCAGCUCAACUGGAGAAUUGCCGCUGAAACUAGCGUGCUCGAGGGAGGUAGAGGUGCGUGGAACUUCCGGUGGAGCGGUGAAAUGCGUUGAUAUCGGAAGGAACACCUGUGGCGAAAGCGAUGCACUGGACCUCUUCUGACGCUGAGGCGCGAAAGCCAGGGUAGCGAACGGG